rnacentral:rRNA from 1 species
UACGGGGGGUGCAAGCGUUAUCCGGAUUCACUGGGUUUAAAGGGGGCGUAGGGGGGCAGGUAAGUCAGUGGUGAAAUCUUCGAGCUUAACUCGGAAACUGCCGUUGAUACUAUCUGUCUUGAAUACCGUGGAGGUGAGCGGAAUAUGUCAUGUAGCGGUGAAAUGCUUAGAUAUGACAUAGAACACCAAUUGCGAAGGCAGCUCGCUACACGAAUAUUGACUCUGAGGCACGAAAGCGUGGGGAUCAAACAGG